AUGAGCAGCACAGUCAAUCUCCAACAGCGUUCAGGUUUAGCGCUCAUACAGGUCCAGCAGGACCCAGAGAACGUGGUUCUUUCAAAUGGAUCAUCACUAAGUGUCUCCUGCUUCAUCAGUGGUACUGAUGACCCAUAUCUUUACUGGUACCGCUGGACUCCUGCAGAAGGGUUCACACUGGUAUUCUACUCUAUAAGUGCUGGUUCAGUGGAUCCAUCCAGUGACGGUCAAUUUAAAUCUCAUAGACCCGAUCGGCUUCAUAUUGUUCUGGAGUCUGAAGGCGUGAGUGAAAUUGGUUCUGUAGUGUGGUACUGUGCAGCCAGUCCCCACAGCAUUCCAGCAUAA